UAUAAGCACUUGUUGCAUCAUGAACAUAAGAGAGAGAGAAAGAGAGAGAGAAACAACACAUCAUUUCAAAGCAAAAGCAAAAGAGAAAGAGAGAGAACAAGAAGAAGAUAAAGAGAGAAAAUCAGGGAAGAAGAAGGGUUUUUUUUGCUGUCAAGAUUGUUUGAAGAUGUCUAUAGAGCAACCCCAGCAGAGCCAGAGCCAAAGCCAAAACUUGAACCAGUUAAUGUUGCAGCAGAGCUCUGGUAGUCUCAGCUUCAACAGCAACUUGUCUAAGGAAGAUGAAGAGAUGUCGAGGUCCGCUCUCUCCACUUUCAGAGCCAAAGAAGAAGAGAUUGAGAGGAAAAAACUUGAAGUAAGAGAGAAGGUUCAAGCUCAGUUGGGUCGUGUUGAAGAAGAGACCAAAAGAUUGGCCACGAUUCGUGAGGAGCUUGAAGCACUUGCAGAUCCAAUGAGGAAGGAAGUUUCUCUGGUCCGUAAGAAGAUUGAUACUGUGAAUAAAGAAUUAAAGCCUCUAGGCCAUACCUGCCAGAAGAAGGAAAGAGAAUACAAGGAAGCCCUUGAGGCUUUCAAUGAAAAGAACAAGGAAAAAGUACAGCUAAUCACCAAAUUAAUGGAGCUGGUGAGUGAAAGUGAGAAGUUGAGGAUGAAGAAGCUGGAGGAGCUGAGUAAAAGCAUAGAGUCAAUGCAACAGUGAUAUAGCCUAGUGCUGAUAACUGAUUAAGUUUGAGUGAUGUAUUUAAGGUGACUUGUUAUAUUUACAUAUGGGUGUUCGGGGUUUGGUGUAUUUUAUGGUAUCGUUGUCUGUUUUUCAAUUAGAAUCUGUUGAAGUUUCAGCUGAUUUAGGAAGGGAAUUACCCUAUAAACAGUACCAGUUUGAAAGAUUACAGACGAAAACUGCUUUCAAGAAGACUCUUUGUUCAUUGUGUUAAGACAAUUUGUUCUAAGUUUCUUCCUAGAAGCUGAUACUUUAAAGAAGAUUCUGUUGCAAUGUUCAUUUAGCAGAACUAUAUAGGCAUUUAUGGUAAACAAAGUACCUUAUCUUCUUGUUUUGUGGCUUGCUGUAAAUGCUGCUUGUGUGGAUGACAAAUGAUACAAAUCAUUCUGAUA